UGUAGUGAUUCCAUUUUCUCAUUCACGUUUUAGUAAUCAAGCUUUCGUUUCUUUUCUUAUUAGAAACGCGCACCUGCUUUGUUGGACAACCUAGCACAAGCCUUCUUGAUGGCACCCUUUUUCGUGUUGUUAGAGACUCUUCAAAUGGCGUUCGGUUAUGAACCAUAUCCGGGGUUUCAUGAACAUGUUAAAGCCAAAGUAGAUGCAGGUAUCCAAGAGUGGAAGGAGAAGAAGCAAAAGAAGAUUUCAUAAAUAUUAUAUGUCAAGUAACGAAAAACUUCUGUUACAUACAAAACAUUCGUGUUGCAAACUAUAUGUUGUUUUCAUUAUGUAUAACAAAAUCAAAAUGAUGCUUUGCAAAUUCAUCAUAUGUUUGUUCCC